AGAGGUUUCAGGUUUGAGGCUAUAGCAGAAGAGCUUACAGCACAGUCCUGUCAGAUUCCAACAAAUCUGAGAAUUCUGCU
rnacentral:ribozyme from 1 species